rnacentral:rRNA from 1 species
UACGGAGGGGGCUAGCGUUGUUCGGAAUUACUGGGCGUAAAAGCGCACGUAGGCGGCUUUGUAAGUUAGAGGUGAAAAGCCCAGGCUUAACCCUGGAAUUGCCUUUAAGACUGCAUCGCUAGAAUCGUGGAGAGGUGAGUGGAAUUCCGAGUGUAGAGGUGAAAUUCGUAGAUAUUCGGAAGAACACCAGUGGCGAAGGCGACUCACUGGACACGUAUUGACGCUGAGGUGCGAAAGCGUGGGGAGCAAACAGGG